rnacentral:rRNA from 1 species
GCACAUGCUGUGAGCUCGAUGAGUAGGGCGGGACACGUGGUAUCCUGUCUGAAUAUGGGGGGACCAUCCUCCAAGGCUAAAUACUCCUGACUGACCGAUAGUGAACCAGUACCGUGAGGGAAAGGCGAAAAGAACCCCGGCGAGGGGAGUGAAAAAGAACCUGAAACCGUGUACGUACAAGCAGUGGGAGCACGCUUAGGCGUGUGACUGCGUACCUUUUGUAUAAUGGGUCAGCGACUUAUAUUCUGUAGCAAGGUUAACCGAAUAGGGGAGCCGAAGGGAAACCGAGUCUUAACUGGGCGUUAAGUUGCAGGGUAUAGACCCGAAACCCGGUGAUCUAGCCAUGGGCAGGUUGAAGGUUGGGUAACACUAACUGGAGGACCGAACCGACUAAUGUUGAAAAAUUAGCGGAUGACUUGUGGCUGGGGGUGAAAGGCCAAUCAAACCGGGAGAUAGCUGGUUCUCCCCGAAAGCUAUUUAGGUAGCGCCUCGUGAAUUCAUCUCCGGGGGUAGAGCACUGUUUCGGCAAGGGGGUCAUCCCGACUUACCAACCCGAUGCAAACUGCGAAUACCGGAGAAUGUUAUCACGGGAGACACACGGCGGGUGCUAACGUCCGUCGUGAAGAGGGAAACAACCCAGACCGCCAGCUAAGGUCCCAAAGUCAUGGUUAAGUGGGAAACGAUGUGGGAAGGCCCAGACAGCCAGGAUGUUGGCUUAGAAGCAGCCAUCAUUUAAAGAAAGCGUAAUAGCUCACUGGUCGAGUCGGCCUGCGCGGAAGAUGUAACGGGGCUAAACCAUGCACCGAAGCUGCGGCAGCGACGCUUAUGCGUUGUUGGGUAGGGGAGCGUUCUGUAAGCCUGUGAAGGUGUGCUGUGAGGCAUGCUGGAGGUAUCAGAAGUGCGAAUGCUGACAUAAGUAACGAUAAAGCGGGUGAAAAGCCCGCUCGCCGGAAGACCAAGGGUUCCUGUCCAACGUUAAUCGGGGCAGGGUGAGUCGACCCCUAAGGCGAGGCCGAAAGGCGUAGUCGAUGGGAAACAGGUUAAUAUUCCUGUACUUGGUGUUACUGCGAAGGGGGGACGGAGAAGGCUAUGUUGGCCGGGCGACGGUUGUCCCGGUUUAAGCGUGUAGGCUGGUUUUCCAGGCAAAUCCGGAAAAUCAAGGCUGAGGCGUGAUGACGAGGCACUACGGUGCUGAAGCAACAAAUGCCCUGCUUCCAGGAAAAGCCUCUAAGCAUCAGGUAACAUCAAAUCGUACCCCAAACCGACACAGGUGGUCAGGUAGAGAAUACCAAGGCGCUUGAGAGAACUCGGGUGAAGGAACUAGGCAAAAUGGUGCCGUAACUUCGGGAGAAGGCACGCUGAUAUGUAGGUGAAGUCCCUCGCGGAUGGAGCUGAAAUCAGUCGAAGAUACCAGCUGGCUGCAACUGUUUAUUAAAAACACAGCACUGUGCAAACACGAAAGUGGACGUAUACGGUGUGACGCCUGCCCGGUGCCGGAAGGUUAAUUGAUGGGGUCAGCGCAAGCGAAGCUCUUGAUCGAAGCCCCGGUAAACGGCGGCCGUAACUAUAACGGUCCUAAGGUAGCGAAAUUCCUUGUCGGGUAAGUUCCGACCUGCACGAAUGGCGUAAUGAUGGCCAGGCUGUCUCCACCCGAGACUCAGUGAAAUUGAACUCGCUGUGAAGAUGCAGUGUACCCGCGGCAAGACGGAAAGACCCCGUGAACCUUUACUAUAGCUUGACACUGAACAUUGAGCCUUGAUGUGUAGGAUAGGUGGGAGGCUUAGAAGUGUGGACGCCAGUCUGCAUGGAGCCGACCUUGAAAUACCACCCUUUAAUGUUUGAUGUUCUAACGUUGACCCGUAAUCCGGGUUGCGGACAGUGUCUGGUGGGUAGUUUGACUGGGGCGGUCUCCUCCUAAAGAGUAACGGAGGAGCACGAAGGUUGGCUAAUCCUGGUCGGACAUCAGGAGGUUAGUGCAAUGGCAUAAGCCAGCUUGACUGCGAGCGUGACGGCGCGAGCAGGUGCGAAAGCAGGUCAUAGUGAUCCGGUGGUUCUGAAUGGAAGGGCCAUCGCUCAACGGAUAAAAGGUACUCCGGGGAUAACAGGCUGAUACCGCCCAAGAGUUCAUAUCGACGGCGGUGUUUGGCACCUCGAUGUCGGCUCAUCACAUCCUGGGGCUGAAGUAGGUCCCAAGGGUAUGGCUGUUCGCCAUUUAAAGUGGUACGCGAGCUGGGUUUAGAACGUCGUGAGACAGUUCGGUCCCUAUCUGCCGUGGGCGCUGGAGAACUGAGGGGGGCUGCUCCUAGUACGAGAGGACCGGAGUGGACGCAUCACUGGUGUUCGGGUUGUCAUGCCAAUGGCACUGCCCGGUAGCUAAAUGCGGAAGAGAUAAGUGCUGAAAGCAUCUAAGCACGAAACUUGCC